UGGCCCUCAGAGACAACGCUGCUGCCCUCAUGGGAGGUAACAUGGGUACUGGAAAGGACAUGGGCAAUUCCAGCAUGCAACUGUAGGUGCACCUAUGAGAGGGGCAGGGGCGCUUUGGGGCAUGUGGAAGGAGCUGGACUCAAUCUGGGGAUCAGAAAAGGCUCCCUGGAGGCAGUAGCCUCUGAGCUGAUACCUGGAGAGUGAGCCCGAAGGGGAAGAUGCAGGGCUAAACUCCGAGAAAUCGAGAUGUUCCUUGAGACACAAGGUAGCUACAGGGAGUCCUCGUCAUCCCUGGCAGUGUUGAACCAGAAGGAUCCUCAGACUGAUGAUAUCUCAGGUGUCAGGCAUCAGGAAGCAAGCCUUUGAAGCAACCGCCAAAGACUUCCCGGGCUGGACAGAACAGCAUCAAAGGCACCACGGCCUCCCAGGCAGGGAAACCGCCCGCCCUUGCUUUCACCCUCCUGGUGACGGGGAACUCACCACCUCUUAAGCCCAGCCAGUCCAUCUGCUUACAGAGC